GCCUGGGAAAUUCCCUUUAGCUCAGUCGGUAGAGUGAUGGCCUUAUAAGCGAGAGGUCCCGGGUUCAAUCCCCGGUUGGGCC